AGCAGCCGCGGUAAUUCCAGCUCCAAUAGCGUAUAUUAAAGUUGCUGCAGUUAAAAAGCUCGUAGUUGAAUUUCGGGACCAUCAUGUUGGUCGUGCCUCGGUACGUACUGGCAUUGUUGGUUUCUCCCUUCUGACGAACCAUGAUGUCACUUAUUUGGUGUUGUGGGAAAUCAGGACUGUUACUUUGAAAAAAUUAGAGUGUUUAAAGCAGGCUCACGCUUGAAUACAUUAGCAUGGAAUAAUGAAAUAGGACGUUUGAUUCUAUUUUGUUGGUUUCUAGGAUUCAACGUAAUGAUUAAUAGGGAUAGUUGGGGGCAUUAGUAUUCAAUUGUCAGAGGUGAAAUUCUUGGAUUUAUUGAAGACUAACUACUGCGAAAGCAUUUGCCAAGGAUGUUUUCUAUUAAUCAAGGACGAAAGUUAGGGAUCGAAGACGAUCAGAUACCGUCGUAGUCUUAACCGAUAAACCUAUAGCCGACUAGGGGAUCGGAGUGAUGUUAAUUUUUUAAUAACUUCUAUUCGGCGUACCUUACGGGUAAAACCG
rnacentral:rRNA from 1 species